rnacentral:rRNA from 1 species
CAAAGGCUUGGUCCUGACUUUACUAUCAGCUUUAACUGAACUUACACAUGCAAGUCUCCGCAUUCCUGUGAGGAUGCCCUUAAUCCCCUGCCCGGGGACGAGGAGCCGGCAUCAGGCGCGCCCAGGCAGCCCAAGACGCCUUGCUAAGCCACACCCCCAAGGAAACUCAGCAGUGAUAGAUAUUAAGCCAUAAGCGAAAGCUUGACUUAGUUAAGGUUAAGAGGGCCGGUAAAACUCGUGCCAGCCACCGCGGUUAUACGAGAGGCCCUAGUUGAUAACUACCGGCGUAAAGAGUGGUUACGGAAAAAUGUUUAAUAAAGCCGAACACCCCCUCAGCCGUCAUACGCACCUGGGGGCACGAAGACCUACUGCUGAAAGCA